AUUGAUGGCUACACCACCUUGAGAGCUGAUCCCAUCAAAUAUUAGAAGCUCAGCAGGUUGUGGCUGGUUAGCACUUGGAUGGGAAACUAUGAGCAAAAACUAGGUGCCUGUGUUG
ensembl:rRNA 5S_rRNA 5S ribosomal RNA